UACAGAGGUCCCAAGCGUUGUUCGGAUUCAUUGGGCGUAAAGGGUGCGUAGGCGGCGCGGUAAGUCGGAUGUGAAAUCUCGGAGCUUAACUUCGAAACUGCAUUCGAUACUGCCGUGCUUGAGGACUGGAGAGGAGACUGGAAUUUACGGUGUAGCGGUGAAAUGCGUAGAUAUCGUAAGGAAGACCAGUGGCGAAGGCGGGUCUCUGGACAGUUCCUGACGCUGAGGCACGAAGGUCAGGGAGGCAAACGGG
rnacentral:rRNA from 1 species